UCCGAAUUGGUGUAGUGGCUAACAUUUGACGCUCUCAACUCCUUCGUGAGAAAGAUCCGUCAAGCCCGGGGUUCGAUUCCCCGAUUCGGAG